UAGGGAAUCUUGCGCAAUGGGCGAAAGCCUGACGCAGCAACGCCGCGUGGGGGAUGAAGGCCUUCGGGUUGUAAACCCCUUUCAGCAGGAACGAAACUGACGGUACCUGCAGAAGAAGCCCCGGCCAACUACGUGCCAGCAGCCGCGGUAACACGUAGGGGGCAAGCGUUGUCCGGAAUUAUUGGGCGUAAAGAGCUCGUAGGCGGCUUGGUAAGUCGGGUGUGAAAGCUCCAAGCUCAACUUGGAGAUGCCAUUCGAUACUGCCAUGGCUAGAGUCCGGUAGGGGGCCACGGAAUUCCUGGUGUAGCGGUGAAAUGCACAGAUAUCAGGAGGAACACCGGUGGCGAAGGCGGUGGCCUGGGCCGGAACUGACGCUGAGGAGCGAAAGCGUGGGUAGCGAACAGG
rnacentral:rRNA from 1 species